rnacentral:rRNA from 1 species
AUAAUCAGUUGGCUUAUAAUUGAAGUCUAGUAUGAAAGGGAAUUCGGGGUGUUACUAUCUUAAAAUAAUAAACAUGAAAUUACUUAAUAAGUGAAAAUUCUUAUAAUAAUAAAAUAGACGAGAAGACCCUAGAAAUUUUUACAAAAUUAACUUUUUUUUUUGUUGGGGCGACAGGAUAACAAAGAACUUAUCUAUAUAAUUAAGAAAUUUAUAUAUAGUGUAACUAAAUUACUCUAGGGAUAACAGCAUAAUAUUGAAAAGUUUGUGACCUCGAUGUUGGACUAGGAAAUGUAUUACCUAAAAGGUAAUAUAAUUGGCCCUGUUCGUGCUAUAAUAUCCUACAU